rnacentral:misc_RNA from 1 species
UCCGGUUUGACCCCGGCAGUAUCCCAUGAGUUCCCACCAUUACGUGCUGGCAACAUAGGACGAGGGUUGCGCUCGUUGCGGGACUUAACCCAACAUCUCACGACACGAGCUGACGACAACCAUGCACCACCUGUAUACCGACCUUGCGGGGCGACUGUUUCCAGACGUUUCCGGUAUAUGUCAAGCCUUGGUAAGGUUCUUCGCGUUGCAUCGAAUUAAUCCGCAUGCUCCGCCGCUUGUGCGGGCCCCCGUCAAUUCCUUUGAGUUUUAGCCUUGCGGCCGUACUCCCCAGGCGGGGGACUUAAUGCGUUAGCUGCGCCACUGAAGGGUAAACCCUCCAACGGCUAGCUUCCAUAGUUUACGGCGUGGACUAC